CUUUUUAGGGCUGCACCCCCUGCACAUGGAGGUUCCCAGGCUAGGGGUCGAAUCGGAGCUUCAGCCACAGCAACACGGGACAUGGGAUCUGAGUUGCAUCUGCAAACUACACCAUGGCUCACGGAAACACCGGAUCCCUAACCCAUUGAGCGAAGGCAGGGAUCGAACCCAUCAUGUCUGAAUCCUCUAUAAACUGCCCAUCUGUCCAACCACCUAGCUGAAACCCUGAUGAGCCCAGCUCUGUGCUGGAGGCUGGGGAGGAGAGGGUGCGAUGCCUUCAGCCUGCAAAGGACCAGGCAAGCACAAGGUGGGGACCCCUCAGCACCGUCGAACUUGCCCACUUUGCAACCUCCAGAAAGACCCCAGACCCUCUGCAGUUCAGGAGCUAAACAGGCAUUAUAGUGGAGAGGAAAAAACACACCCCUGUAAUCCGUGCCCACUGGUGGGCUUCCACUCACAAAUGCCCUAAAAUGCAUAACACCCAGCCUGCUCUUGGCAAUGCAACCCAUCUCGAUGCCAGGCCAGCUAAGUGUGGUGGAUUGUCUGGCAUUUCAUCCAUUAGCCCCCAGAUGGAAAGGGAACAGUUCUGCAAAGUUCCAGGAGCUGCAGGAGACAGGGUGGGACUUCUCCCCAGGGACCCGGCUGGCAGACCUGAAUGCAGUCACACUAGCCCUGAGCUCCUCUGGCCAAUGGUGGGGCCGGCUGGAGGCCAAAAGCUGCUGAGAGCAGGCAGUGUGGGUGUCCUAUUCAACAGGAUCCCAUGUGGCUCUCAAAGGUCCCGGGCACACAGCAAGUGCUCAAUAAAUGUAGGAUGAAUGAAUGAAUGUGAUUUUGAGGAAAGCAGCUCUGCCCGCAUUUGGAGAUGGGAGGGGUGUGACUUUUGGUCCCAUCACCCAAUUUGGGAAGCACAGACACAGGCUGUCCUCCAGACACCAAUACCUCAAAGACUAUUGAGGAUUCAUCCCAUGGAGUUAUGGAAAUGAAAAUAUAACUAAUAAUAACACCAACAGCAUCCGUGCUAUCACAAAGGCUCACCUCCAGCGCUAUUAUUCAAUGUUACCUCCUUUCGUUAUUUCAUUCAAGCUUCCCAUCCGUCCUGUGAGAUACAGAGUACUAUUACUCCCAAUUUAUAGAUGAGAAAACUGAGGCUCAGAGGGCCAAGGCUGUAGUACUAGCGGAGUGGGAAUCUGCACCCUGAUCUGACUUGGAAUAAAAGUUUAAAGCUACAAGGGGCCUCACCCCUCAUUUGGCAAAUGACAAACUACAGCGCAAGGAGGCUGAGGCCAUCAGUAGCAAGUUGACAGGUGUUGCUGAAGGAACAGGAUGGGUGUGGAGAGGUUGGCCUAUGCUUUUCAUUGACUGGGGCACACCCCUGACUGGGUUUGCGUACAGGUCGCUAACCGUGGCCUAUCCUCCCUCUCCGGGACCCUUCACCAGCUGCAGCAUCUUCAACUCUUAAGUCCUAGAGGGUGAGGACCAAAUCCUUCUAGCAUCUUUGCAGCAUCAGUCAUCAGUAGGGGCUUUAAAGAAUAGUGUGGAAAAUAAUUAAGUGACAAAUAUCCACCAAGUCCAACUAUGGCUCGGCAUUGAACGAGACCCCGGAUGAGGGCUUGGGGGCCAGACACCCAGAGGAAGGAUGCUGCCCUCAGCGCACCUCGUGGAGGACACAGCAGGGAUUCUCAGGGACAGGGACCUUCCAGCUUUGUCCCCUCCCAAUCCCUAGCAAAGAAACAGUGGCUGGCACACAGUGGGAGCUCAGAGCCAACGGCUAAAGACAUGAAUUAAUACACAUUGACCCAAGAGCAGUGAGCACCCCAUAUAAGGCAGGGUGGUUCAGUGAGUCAGAGCUGCAGAAUUCACAGGAGAGAGAGAGGCGCACGGGUGCAGGGCCAGGAGGUUUGUGGUUGACCGAAAUCAACAAAGGACAGAUCUUAAAAAGCACUUGGCCACAGUUGCCUGGGAGGCAGCAUCGCACACUGUGGUUUGCCAUCUUUUUUCUGCAGAGCAAUCUUUUUUUCAAAUGAAAUCAUACACCGCACCCUAAAUGCAGACCAGAACUUUCGUGGUGGACGCCAGCCGGGGCUACGAGGCUGGCCUGCAAACCCUGGGCCUCCUGGGGCCCCUCCUGCUCCACCAGCGACGGCCUCUUCUCUUUCCCCUUCCCUCCAAGAGGCCCGGGGAAGGUGGUGGCUGAGGGGAGGGCUGUGGGCCCCGCUCUGGGCUGUCAGAGGCCAGAUCUUCUGGGAGGCCAUUUAGGGCAAAUAAACAUUAAAGUGGCGCAAGAACUUCCCUUGGCGAUGAGGGGGUGGGGGUGGGGGAUGGAAAGAAAACAGAAGGCCCUCCCAGUAAGCGCAGGAAAACCCAAAGCAGCCAGAUGUGGGGUGGCUGAAAUAGUGGGGUGGCCGAGGGCUCAAUAUGGGAAGGAUUUUCUGGGACGAUCCCUUUGAAAAGUGAAGCGUCAUCUGUAGAUACAUCAUGUGUGCGUGCGAUGCGUGCCUGCGUGUGUGUGUGUGUGUGUGUGUGUGUGUGUGUGUGUAAAUCAGACCUUCAGAUACCAGAUCCACUGAAACUGAGGCAGAGGUGUCAGAGAGAAGCCAUCCCUGUGCUCUAAGCCACAGGAAGGACCUAUUGAGGACAAGUCAGUUCCCGGCGCCCUGCCAUGGCACUGAUAGGGAGCACCUGUUGUUCCGUCUGCUCAGCAUUCCUUCCUCCUUCUUCUGAAAAGAGUGCCUGGGUUUUCCCUUUGGGGUACCAGCCCUCUUACUCUCAGGCUGACUCCUCCCACCCAUGACACCCCACCCCACCCCCGUCAUGGACCACUCAACCCUGACCUAGUCUGGUCAGUCAGCAUUGCCUCCUUCAAGUUUCAAGUGAUUGGUCAGAGGUGAUCAUGUGACCCAAGGCCAGCCAAUAAGCUUCGACUCUGGGACUUCCCUAGAAACUCUUGGGAAAAAAGGAGCUCUGCUUCCAGUGGCUUUGCAAUGAGCAGGAUGGUAAUUUGGAGCUGCCGGUCACUGCCC
ensembl:lncRNA